CCCCCCCAAAAAAAUUAACCACAGUAUGUACUAAACCUUCCACAUGCUCACGUUUGUUACCCUUGUGCUUUUGUCCGCUAGGUGGCAUCCUGUGACCUUGUCCAGCAACAACUUUUUCAUCGAGGCUGAUCUUAAAUGGGUGGCUUCCAGUCCAAUCGGCAUGGUGGUAGACGAGACCUUGGCUGUGAAGAAAAUGGAGAUCCUGGGGGUGAAAGGUCAACGAGUUUUCAAAUUGACAAUGUCCAUGUUCCUUGAGGUGAAAAACUUUGGCGCCGCCUGGGAAGAAGUCUUGGCCCUUUGCCUUGAAAGGUGCUGAACAUGAUCAUCUUCCAGUCUACUUUGCCGAACGUCUUCCUCACCGUGUCACCAUCUUGCGCCGUUUGCUGCACAACAAGGUGAGGUAACUUUGUCUUGCAGGCGCCCAGGCUGUCCUCGUUGGCUGAUGACCACUUCUCAAAGACUCGUCGCUGACAUCCUACUUGUGACUUAAAUGUUUGCCACUUGAACUCUGCAAAAAGAAAUAAAGCUUGUUACAAAUGCAA